ensembl:lncRNA
GUGGGGGUGCAGUCCAUGUUCAUUUGGUGUGCUACAGAAUUUCUUGCAAUCCAAGUUCACUGGAUCCAUCUUUUUAACCACAGGAUGAGGAAAGAUGGCAUAGGAAACAAGAGGCAAAUGUGGUCAGAGCAUCCAUAGGCUAGAAUAGAGUUUGAAGGUAGGUAGUUCAGCAAAAGUUUUGUCUCAUUGAAUAAACCCAGUAGUGAAGUCAGGGCAGAGCAGAUGAGAACAAGAGGAUUCUGUUGUUCCAAGAACAAGCCUUCAUUCACUUUUCUCCCACAGUCUGACAAAAGUUAAAAUCCUGCAAGAGCCAAGAGUCCUUUAGUUCACUCCUCACUCUCUUCUGCUGUACAUCUGGGUGUGGGCUUUAGAGACUUUAAAAGUUAAGGACUCAUUAAAUUGUAUAAAAGAAGAGGAAUUUAUUUAAACACGGACCUUUCUAAUGGAAUAGGGCACCUUCUCACAGCAUUGUUAGAGGAAGGAGAAUUUUGGGAGACAACCAAACUCUGGCAUUU